rnacentral:pre_miRNA from 7 species
UAAUUAUGAAAUGAACUGUUUUGCUGUUAUCAGGUGGAACACGAUGCAAUUUUGGUUGGUGUAAUAGGAGGAAAAUUGCACGGUAUCCAUCUGUAAACCGCAGGACCUAUGUGGACAGCCGUCUA